rnacentral:lncRNA from 1 species
CAAGAUCUUAGCCGGCACUGACAAACUCUCUUUCAGUCGCAUAUCAAAGUAUGGUACCAGACAUUACAUCAAUCUCACGCAUUUGCUGUCUCAAUAGUUUGCCUAAAUCAGAUGUAUCUGACAGAAAAUUACUCUAUUCGGACUAUGGUAUGAAAACCAUAAAGAUCAAGACUAUUUACUCACCCUUUACUCAUUAGGUGCAAGUGCAUGAUAUACCUUUCGUAUGUGAUUGCAGCUUCAUGGUGUGGAUGAAUACGGGGUUUUCAAGGCUAUCUCUUUUCCCCCUUUGUCGUUCUUGGUGUGAUUUCCUAAACAACAUGGGCAGGCUCUGACCCCCACCAAGUUGCAACAUCCUCAACAUGACCAUCUAUGCAAGAAUUGUUACUAC